AUUGAACGCUGGCGGAAUGCUUUACACAUGCAAGUCGAACGGUAGCACGGACUUCGGUCUGGUGGCGAGUGGCGAACGGGUGAGUAAUGUAUCGGAACGUGCCCAGUCGUGGGGGAUAACGUAGUGAAAAUUACGCUAAUACCGCAUACGAUCUAUGGAUGAAAGCGGGGGAUCGCAAGACCUCGCGCGAUUGGAGCGGCCGAUAUCAGAUUAGGGCGUUGGUGGGGUAAAGGCCCACCAAGCCAACGAUCUGUAGCUGGUCUGAGAGGACGCCCAGGCGAGCGUGUACUGAGACACGGUCCAGACUCCUGCGGGAGGCAGCGGUGGGGUAUUGUGGAAAAUGGGCGAAAACCUGAUCCAGCCAUUCCGCGUGCAGGAUGAAGGCCCUCGGGUUGUAAACUGCUUUUGUACAGAACGAAAAGGUUUCUACUAAUACUAGGAGCUCAUGACGGUACUGUAAGAAUAAGCACCGGCUAACUACGUGCCAGCCGCCGCAGUAA
rnacentral:rRNA from 1 species